UUUUUUUUUAUUAUUUGUCAUGUUUAGCUCAACUCUCGCUGUGGAUUCCUCUGUUGUGUUGCGUCAGAGAACAACUGUUAGUUAGCACAGGUCGCCGUUGUACAUAUGCUAAGCCGAUAAAAACGAAACGCAUGCCCUCGACUGACAGUCCCGACCUCUUUACGAAGGCCAUUCUACUCGCUGCCCUGGUUGAUCCGUGUAAAAUAGGAAAAUAAGUGAGCUAGCUGUCGACCGCGGAUGCAUGUGCUGGUUUCUCCCACGCAACGAGGAACUCCAGUUUCCUGUUGCGUGACUCUGUUAACUUUGUCUCAACGUAAUGCUCAUACAGCAACUCUUAACACUCCGUCCCGACCCAAAUGGUAAACCGCAGCACAACUCCUUGGAUGUCUUGAGCUGGCCUGGAUAACAGGACAUCCUUAGCUCCACCCUUGUUUAAAAGACGGACACUUGCACUGAUUGUUUGCAUUAAUAGACGUAUGUUUACGCUAAGUUUUACAGUUGACCGCAUGACUUCAUCAGUGUGCGACGCAACCCCAACUCCCCUCUGACCGAGGGCUUAUGAGUCGGAACCCUUCUCGGCAUUGUUGCUUUUUGUUUAUUGUAUUCAAAACUCAGACUGGGUUAUACGCUGUAAUUUUGUUUUUCGGUUGUGCAAAGUUAAGUCCGCUCGUUGCUUGGCACUUUAUUUGUGACUGUCCUGUUUUUGCAACAGGGACUGUUUUGCCCUACGUGAAUGCUGUCUGACACCGGAUGUACACUCUGGCAGGAACUUUCUUGUUCAAGAAAAAAAGAAAAAGAAAAUGUAUUCUAUAUUUUCUUCUUUAAACUGUUUGUCUAUUGUUUGGGCUUGGCUUGUCUCAGUUUCUUUGUUUGUCGUUCUGUUUUUUGAAUCCGUACGGGAGAUGCAAAACUAGAAAGGGCUUUUUCCAGUGCAGCUUGCUCUCCUGUGAACACAGGUGGAACAAAUACGCAGUCCGAAUGUACUUUAGCUUGGCAGCCAUGUUCCCUUAAGCUCGCUCCCGUUGAAUUCUACCCUGGGCUUGAUUCCGAUGCUCCGUCACAAUUUCUCAGCAAACGUUGCUCAUCUAUCUGUCACAUCAUACGUCUAGAUGGACACGCCCACUUGUGAUGUCAGAAGAGGCAGAUUUUCAUAAACGGCUUGUGACGGCUAAUCACACUCAUACCUGGUGGUAAAUUAUGUCACCUUUAAUGAGGUUGAGGCCGCUCAGCCGUCCAUCUGUCCUGAUUCCGUGGGGCUCCUUGAUAGCGCUACGGCUGCGGCUCCAGACUCGAGCGAUGAAGCCUGAGCUCGAGGAAAUUAGGAAACUCAUUAGGAAAAAUAAUUGGAAUCCAGCCCAGGUCGACCAGACUGUUGAUAUUCACCCAGGAAGUGAUUGUUGCUCUGCGACAGCGUUGUUAGUCUUGCAAAGAUUUAACAGUUAAAGAUUUAAAAACUAGAAACUGCCACUCCCGAGUAUUGUACAGAAAGUAGUCACAAAUUGUAUGCUGUUCACAAUCACUUAUUCGAUUUGGCUCUGCUGUUGAAAUGAAUUAAGAGGGAUGGUUCAUGUGAAGGUGUUUUUGUCCCCAAGUGUACCUGUAGUUACUGACGUGUUUUUAUUUUCUCAAUACAAGAUCCUGGUUUGUAAACGUGUCAUGCUCAAAUCAUGUUGAAAUUGCGAAGGAUAUCAAUGUUUGUCCCAGGAGGGGCUCACUACGUGGUAAAGUGGCAUACUUAAAAGAAAAAAAGAUACGGUGUUGUCCUAAUGUUUGGUCAACGGGAAUUUGUGAGUUUUUAUGUUGUGCAGCUCGUUGUUCCAAGGGUUUGAAAUCUGGAUGUCCCUUUAAUGACAAAGGUUUUUUUUUAAUGUCUGCAAUCCAUUGAAACAUGUGUACGGCCCAGGCAAACCAGUUCUGUUUUAAAGUCAACUUUAAGCUUCUAGUGCGGCUAGCAUAUCACUGUUGUCCAGUUAGUCCUAGUACAAGUUCUGUAGUAUUUAUUUGUUGCAGUGUGAAUCUCCUCAUGUGAACUGUUUGUUUAUUAUAUAAAAGAAAAUGUCAACAAAAUUGAAUGUGGACGACAGACUUUUUCUCUGUACAUACGUCCGUACAAAUGUCCGUUGUCAUUUUUGAUCAAAUUGUGCUGGAAAUGCACAAUGACUCAACACUGUCUUCAAGAUGUUUUUAAGCCCAUUUCUGCG
ensembl:lncRNA